rnacentral:rRNA from 1 species
GGGAAAGCAUAUACUGCAGUCGAACGAUGAAGCUUCUAGCUUGCUAGAAGUGGAUUAGUGGCGCACGGGUGAGUAAUGCCUAUGUUAUGUGCCCUUUAGUCUGGGAUAGCCACUGGAAACGGUGAUUAAUACUGGAUACUCCCUACGGGGGAAAGGGGCUUUCAAUAAAGAAUUUCUCUUUUUAGUGUUUUGUGUUGUUGGCACAAAAUUCUAGUAUUUGGAAUGAGAAAUUGAUGUUGUGAAGCAAUUUGUGCGGAGACUAGACUUAGUGUCUGUCGCACAAGCAAAUUGCGAACUCAUCGAUUUAUCGUCCAAAGACGAAUUUUUUAUUGAAAGCCUUCGCUAAAGGAUCAGCCUAUGUCCUAUCAGCUUGUUGGUGAGGUAAUGGCUCACCAAGGCUAUGACGGGUAUCCGGCCUGAGAGGGUGAUCGGACACACUGGAACUGAGACACGGUCCAGACUCCUACGGGAGGCAGCAGUAGGGAAUAUUGCUCAAUGGGGGAAACCCUGAAGCAGCAACGCCGCGUGGAGGAUGAAGGUUUUAGGAUUGUAAACUCCUUUUGUAAGAGAAGAUUAUGACGGUAUCUUACGAAUAAGCACCGGCUAACUCCGUGCCAGCAGCCGCGGUAAUACGGAGGGUGCAAGCGUUACUCGGAAUCACUGGGCGUAAAGAGCGCGUAGGCGGGUGGUCAAGUCAGAUGUGAAAUCCUGUAGCUUAACUACAGAACUGCAUUUGAAACUGAUCAUCUA